GAUGAACGCUGGCGGCGUGCUUAACACAUGCCAGUCGAACGGAAAGGCCUCUGCUUGCAGGGGUACUCGAGUGGCGAACGGGUGAGUAACACGUGGGUGAUCUGCCCUGCACUUCGGGAUAAGCCUGGGAAACUGGGUCUAAUACCGGAUAGGACAAUGGUUUGGAUGCUGUUGUGGAGAGUUUUUCGGUGUGGGGUGAGCUCGCGGCCUAUCAGCUUGUUGGUGGGGUGGUGGCGUACAAAGACGUCGUCGGGGAGCCGCCCUGUGAGGGUGUACGGCGACAUUGGGGGUGAGAGACGGGGCAGACACCUACGGGGGGGAGAAGUGGGGAAUAUUGUGCAAAGGGGGCGAGACUGAGGCAGAGACGCCGCGUGGGCGAUGAGGGCGUUCGGGUGGUAAACUCCUCUCGCGAGGGACGAGGCGCGUUUGUGACGGUACCGGGAGAAGAAGCACCGGCUAACUACGUG
rnacentral:rRNA from 1 species